UAUAAAUGAAAUAAUAUUUUAUAUACUGUUCUUCAAAUGGCAUUUUCCCUUUAGAGCUCUUUUCAAAUAUGUAAAAAUCUAUUUUAAAAACAGCUGCACGGUAGCUCAUAGAAUGAAUCUGCCAUAGUUCAUUUACUCUUUCCCCUCUUGAUGGUCCUAUAGGAGGUCUUUGGUUUUUUUCUAUUAUAAAUAGUAUGCAAUGACCAUACUUGUAAAUGCUUCUAUACUCAUAUGUGUAUCUCUGAGCACAGAUGUCUAGAUCUAGAAGCUGAAUAGAUGGGUUGAAGGCGAUACCUAAUUUUAACAUUUGAUGACUCCUGCCAAAUUACCCUCUGAAAAGAAUUUAACAGUUUAUACUCCUGCCACAUGAUUGCCUCUUUCCUCACAUCAUAAUGCUGUACAGGAAGCUUGGCUGGGGAGGCCUCAGAAAACUUACAAUCAUGACAGAAGGCAAAGGGGAAGCAGGCAUAACUACACAUGGCCAGAGCAGGAGGAAGAGAGAUAAAGAAGAAGUGCUACAAACUUUUAAGCAACCAAAUCUUGUGAGAUCUCACUGUCAUGGAAAUAGCAAGGAGGAAAUCUGCCCCCAUGAUUCAGUCACUUCCUGCCAGACCCCUCCUCCAACAUUAGGGAUUACAGUUUGACGUGAGAUUGCUGGUGGUACACAAAUCCAAACCAUAUCAUAUUCUUUAUACAUUUGGGAAAUUAACUUUUUUCUGUAAUAUGAUUUACAAAUUUUUUCUCAGAUUUACAUUUGUUUUUUGACUUUUCAUAUUAUGAAUUUUGCUAUGGGAACUUUUUCAUUGUCAUGAAAUUUACCUGUUAUUUCAUCCAUAUAGUCUCUGUAAGCAUUCAUAAGUAUUAUACUUAGAAAGACCUUUACCAUUCUGAGAUUAUAUAAGAAAAAUUCUCUCAGGGUUUUUUUUUUCUAGUAAUUUUAAGACUUUUAAUAUUUUGGAUUUUUCCACAUGUAGUCUAUAGGAUAACAAUCCACAUUUUUUCCCCAGCUCUACAACAUUUUGCUGCUAGAAUAUUUUACAAAAUUUUGUAAUUACUUAUUAACUUAUAUUUCUUCCCCAUUGAUUUUGAAAUCUGUAAGAGCAGAAACUUUUAUUUUAUGUUUUUAUUCUCUCACAUGCCUGCUCUUUAAUGCACUUCAACCCCAGCCCCAAGUCUUGCCCAGUACUUGGCAAUUAGAUAGUUCUAAUUCUGCAUUUCUUAACUGCUGGGGAGGAAAGAUUCCACCUGAUUUAAGUCAAGUCCUUAACCCAGGAUGUGGCUGCAAAUGAGACUGGGAAGUUCUCGACCCGUGUCUUUUCAUUAAACUCUGGCUUUUACCAAGUACAGUACCAAAUGAGUCAUACUGACCCAUGUAGAGGAUGGCAUCCUGAGGGGAAAAGAAUUGUAGUGGAAAUAGCCAAGGCUGCUUGGAGACAAGCUUCUCAGCUGGCAUGUAGAACAACAGCCACUGCUACAGCAAACAGCAAAACAAUAACAAGCCGGCUUGCAGAAGGUGGGAAGCUGCCGACAUAAAUGCAGGCUCCCUUCCCAGGCUACCUCAGCAGUCCCUGAGGAUGAACUAUUCUAAAUGGGCAGCAGUUGUGGCAUCCUCCCAGCUUACAGGAACUGAAGAUAUCACUCACU
rnacentral:lncRNA from 13 species